AGCGAACGCUGGCGGCAGGCUUAACACAUGCAAGUCGAACGGUCCUUCGGGAUAGUGGCGGACGGGUGAGUAACACGUGGGAACGUACCCUUAGGUUCGGAACAACACAGGGAAACUUGUGCUAAUACCGGAUAAGCCCUUCGGGGGAAAGAUUUAUCGCCUUUGGAGCGGCCCGCGUCUGAUUAGCUUGUUGGUGAGGUAAUGGCUCACCAAGGCUACGAUCAGUAGCUGGUCUGAGAGGAUGGCCAGCCACACUGGGACUGAGACACGGCCCAGACUCCUACGGGAGGCAGCAGUGGGGAAUCUUGCGCAAUGGGCGAAAGCCUGACGCAGCCAUGCCGCGUGGAUGAUGAAGGUCUUAGGAUUGUAAAAUCCUUUCACCGGGGACGAUAAUGACGGUACCCGGAGAAGAAGCCCCGGCUAACUUCGUGCCAGCAGCCGCGGUAAUACGAAGGGGGCUAGCGUUGCUCGGAAUUACUGGGCGUAAAGGGCGCGUAGGCGGACAGUUAAGUUGGGGGUGAAAGCCCGGGGCUCAACCUCGGAAAUGCCUUCAAUACUGGCUGUCUUGAGUACGGGAGAGGUGAGUGGAACUCCGAGUGUAGAGGUGAAAUUCGUAGAUAUUCGGAAGAACACCAGUGGCGAAGGCGACUCACUGGCCCGUUACUGACGCUGAGGCGCGAAAGCGUGGGGAGCAAACAGG
rnacentral:rRNA from 1 species